AGAGUUUGAUCCUGGCUCAGGAUGAACGCUAGCGACAGGCUUAACACAUGCAAGUCGAGGGGCAGCACGGUGUAGCGAUACACUGGUGGCGACCGGCGCACGGGUGAGUAACACGUGUGCAACCAACCCCGUACCGGGAGAUAACCCGCGGAAACGUGGACUAACAUCCCAUGACACUCGAGAGCCGCAUGGCUCUAGAUUUAAAAUUCCGGUGGUACGGGACGGGCACGCGCGACAUUAGGUAGUUGGCGGGGUAACGGCCCACCAAGCCGACGAUGUCUAGGGGUUCUGAGAGGAAGGUCCCCCACACUGGAACUGAGACACGGUCCAGACUCCUACGGGAGGCAGCAGUGAGGAAUAUUGGUCAAUGGGCGAGAGCCUGAACCAGCCAAGUCGCGUGAGGGAAGAAUGGUCUAUGGCCUGUAAACCUCUUUUGCCAGGGAAGAAUAAAAGGUACGUGUACCUUCUUGCCAGUACCUGACGAAUAAGCAUCGGCUAACUCCGUGCCAGCAGCCGCGGUAAUACGGGGGAUGCGAGCGUUAUCCGGAUUUAUUGGGUUUAAAGGGCGCGUAGGCGGGACGUCAAGUCAGCGGUAAAAGACUGCAGCUAAACUGUAGCACGCCGUUGAAACUGGCGCCCUCGAGACGAGACGAGGGAGGCGGAACAAGUGAAGUAGCGGUGAAAUGCAUAGAUAUCACUUGGAACCCCGAUAGCGAAGGCAGCUUCCCAGGCUCGUUCUGACGCUGAUGCGCGAGAGCGUGGGUAGCGAACAGGAUUAGAUACCCUGGUAGUCCACGCCGUAAACGAUGCUCACUGGAUCUUGGCGAUACACAGCCAGGGUUCAAGCGAAAGUAUUAAGUGAGCCACCUGGGGAGUACGUCGGCAACGAUGAAACUCAAAGGAAUUGACGGGGGCCCGCACAAGCGGAGGAACAUGUGGUUUAAUUCGAUGAUACGCGAGGA
rnacentral:rRNA from 1 species